rnacentral:lncRNA from 1 species
AGGUCUGUUUUCCAAUCCAAAAUCCGAACGUCAUCAGGAUCACUCAUCCCUCCCCACCUCCCAGCUGACAUGCUUCUGUAAUCUUCGAGUUCCGAUUUUCACGCGUGCCUGAUGAUGAACUCCCACCGCCACCUCUGCAGGUAGACCGGGUCUCAGCAGUCAUCAAUUUGUGCGCGCGCCCCUCCGCCUAAGUAUGACUAAACACCGCCGUGGACAGAAGCCAUUCCCUCGACAAACAGACAGACACGUCAGAUGAUCAUGACCACGGAAGACAGCACGGAGGCGACGUGGGACAACUUAACAGCCGGGUUGCCCUUCCUUCUCGGUGGAGCAACCCCACCCCGCCACACCGGAACUGCCUCCCCCACGCCGGGCGCGCCCACGCACGUCAGCGCCGGAGCUGCGGGAGCCGCCCCCCUCCGACGCAGGUGGCCCGCGCGACACGCGCAUGCUCCCUAGGUAGGGUCACGAGCGGCUCCGGGUGCUACAAUCUGUUGCGCCGCCCUCGGGGAGCCCGCAGAUCCGGGUCUCGUGGCUAAGAGUGACGUGGUCUAUCGAAUCCAAACAGAGGGGAGGAGGCCGGCGGCCAGCAGCAUCGGCAGCGACAGCGGCGUCCGGAACGCUCCCGGCCGCCACCCUCCCCGCCCGCCGCUGUUUUGGGCGGGUGAGUGUCCCGUCCCCCCCUCUCUCCCCGGCCCACCGCCCUCCUCGGCGACCCUCUUGGCGUCGCCACUUCUGUGGCCGCGCGCACCCGGGGACCGCUGCGGCGGAGCGGGCGCCUUUGGCUGGGCGCUGCACCCGGGGAGCCCGCAGCCGCUGGCCCGGCAGCCUGCAGCUGGGCUGCACAGGCACCCGCAGUCCGGGUGCUUUCACUUUUAGGGCCCCAUAGGCGGCGCGGGCGUGCAGGGGGUUAGGGACAGUCACCCCGAAGGCCGGGCGGUGGCGUUUGCCUGGUGGGUUCGAUGAAGUCACCCGGACGGGGCCCUUUUGUUGUGGUGUGUUGGUAGCUGCCAUCCUAAAAGCCAGAGCUCUUCUUUAGCCUCCAUUGUGUUGCGGAUUUAAAGGAUUCCCCUUUUCUGUUGGUUCAGUUCUGUUGGUUCAGUACGUGGAGCCGGGGCUGACAAUGGAGCAGGUAGCAGCACCGUUAUCGGAAGGAAUGCAGGGCAACAGCCUGGCAAUGGUUUGAGAUCCGUGUCGCUGCUUAAAGCCGAAGUUUUCCGAAGUGGCUGCUUAAACGUUAGGAUUUUAGCCAAGAUGAUACUUGCUAACUGUAGCGAGGCGGCAGGAUGCUUUUAGUUGCCCCAGUUGGAAAAGCCGAGGAUGCGGCCUUAGUAAUGGAGUGCCCUGGGUUUACAGCUGGAGCGCCUGAUGAGCUUCAGGAAGCAUUUAUACCUGCAUGUGUGGAAGACACCCUCCCGAUUUUGUGUUGUGGUGUCACUUGGCAGCUAUCCGUACCAGAAUUGGGAAAAACCUACAGUUUACCAAGGGUUCUAGUCUGGAAACGCUCGCUGCCCUGUGUCUGCUGUGGAGGUUAGGGGAAGCAGCUGCGUGCUCCUGCUUCAGGUGACUCCCUGCUCGCGCAGAUUCCUUCAGUGUAGCCGCCCACCCUUUUGCCCUCCGCACUCAGACCAGAAAACCAAGCCUGGAUGUUCCAUCGUGUUUUCGAAAAGGGACAUUUCCCCCUCUCCAAGAUACUUAUAGUGUUUCUGUGGAAAGCAGCAGGAAGGAACGAGGAAACAGAUUGAUUGCUGUCCAUCAAAUCUGGGAAGAAGUCUUAGGAAUUUAGACCCCUAUCUUUGAAGGGUGUGCCCUUGGGCAGUAACGGACCUCGUAUCAAAUCUUUUCCUCCUGUGUAGAUCAUGGAUUUUCCCUCUUUUUUUUCUCCCAUACUUGGAAUCUUGAUGAUAUAGACAAAGGAGAAUUUUCUUUUUGCACUUCCCCCUUUUCAGAUUUUUUUAAAAAACCCUCACCCUUUUUACUAUUCUAAAACAAUAUUUUUUGUUUUGUGAGAUGUUUUUGUAGUGAUUGGAGGAGAUGUUUAUAGAAGUACAUGAGGAGGAAAGAAUGAUAAUCGCGUCUCUCCUCUUGCCGGAAUGUUAGUUCAUAUCCUUCAAGAUGCUUUUGCAAUUGCUUUACAAAAAUAUGGUAUCAUACUACAUUUGUUAUUUACUUAUUUAUUUUAUUUAAUGUUAAUGGGUAUUUUGCCUAUAUGUAUGUUUGUGCACCUUGUGCAUUCCUGGGUGCUCAAGGAGGUGGUGGAUCCUUGGGAUUGAAGUUACAGAGGAUUAUGAGUGGCUGUGUUGCUGGGAACCAAACCCAGGUCCUCUGGAAGAGUAGUUAGUGCUGUAAUCUCAGAGCCACCCCUCGCUGUGGCUUUACAUACCGGUACUUUUUUGAGUUAUGUAUGUAUGUAUGUAUGUAUGUACGUAUGUAUUUGCAGCUAUGGCCUAUGGACCUUUUAGGGUGAAAUUCCACCAUGUUGGAAAAGCAGUAGUUAUUAAAGCCAUGGUGUGGAAAGUUUUCCCCCUAUGUCUCUUGGUGAUACUGUGAGAUUUAGUAAAACAGACACC